rnacentral:sRNA from 1 species
UGUCCGAAUUGGUGUCCGAGUUGGUUU